CUGUCCCCAAGGUAGCCAUGGGGCUUUAGUGGGAUGGGGAGCUUCUGGGCUGAGCCCCAAACCACUUCCCUUUCCCCUCCAGCCCCUCUGCUGGGGCAGCCCGUGUCCAUGCUGUCCUGCAGGACUUGGGCCUGAGCCCUAGGGCUUCGGAUGUUGAGCUUGUGCAGCACGUGUGUGCGGCCGUGUGCACGCGGGCUGCCCAGCUCUGUGCUGCUGCUCUGGCCGCUGUUCUCUCCUGCCUCCAGCACAGCCGGGAGCAACAAACACUCCAGGUUGCUGUGGCCACCGGAGGCCGAGUGUGUGAGCGGCACCCCAGGUUCUGCAGCAUCCUACAGGGGACAGUGAUGCUCCUGGCCCCAGAAUGCGAUGUCUCCUUCAUCCCCUCUGCGGAUGGUGGUGGCCGGGGAGUGGCGAUGGUGACUGCCGUGGCUGCCCGUCUGGCUGCCCACCGGCGCCUGCUGGAGGAGACCCUGGCCCCGUUCCGGUUGAACCACGAUCAACUGGCAGCGGUUCAGGCACAGAUGCGGAAGGCCAUGGCCAAGGGGCUCCGAGGGGAGGCCUCCUCCCUUCGCAUGCUGCCCACUUUCGUCCGGGCCACGCCUGAUGGCAGCGAGCGAGGGGAUUUCCUGGCCCUGGACCUUGGGGGCACGAACUUCCGUGUCCUCCUGGUACGUGUGACCACAGGUGUGCAGAUCACCAGCCAGAUCUACUCCAUUCCCGAGAGUGUGGCCCAGGGCUCUGGUCAGCAGGUACCCACAGUCUGAACCUUGAUGUCAGAGGUCGGGAAGGGCUGAGCAGUGCCUACCCCUGACCUGUCCUGCCCCACAGCUCUUUGACCACAUCGUGGACUGCAUCGUGGACUUCCAGCAGAAGCAGGGCCUGAGUGGGCAGAGCCUCCCACUGGGUUUUACCUUCUCCUUCCCAUGUAGGCAGCUUGGCCUGGACCAGGGCAUCCUCCUGAACUGGACCAAGGGUUUCAACGCAUCAGACUGCGAGGGCCGAGAUGUCGUGAGUCUGUUGCGGGAAGCCAUCACACGCAGACAGGCAGUGGAGCUGAAUGUGGUUGCCAUUGUCAAUGACACGGUGGGGACCAUGAUGUCCUGUGGCUAUGAGGACCCCCGUUGCGAGAUAGGCCUCAUUGUCGGAACCGGCACCAAUGCCUGCUACAUGGAGGAGCUCCGGAAUGUGGCGGGCGUGCCUGGGGACUCAGGCCGCAUGUGCAUCAACAUGGAGUGGGGCGCCUUUGGGGACGAUGGCUCUCUGGCCAUGCUCAGCACCCGCUUUGAUGCAAGUGUGGACCAGGCGUCCAUCAACCCCGGCAAGCAGAGGUUUGAAAAGAUGAUCAGCGGCAUGUACCUGGGGGAGAUCGUCCGCCACAUCCUUUUAUAUUUAACCAGUCUUGGUGUUCUCUUCCGGGGCCAGCAGACCCAGCGCCUUCAGACCAGGGACAUCUUCAAGACCAAGUUCCUUUCUGAGAUCGAAAGUGACAGCCUGGCCCUGCGGCAGGUCCGAGCCAUCCUAGAGGAUCUGGGGCUACCCCUGACCUCAGAUGAUGCCCUGAUGGUGCUAGAGGUGUGCCAGGCCGUGUCCCAGCGGGCUGCCCAGCUCUGUGGGGCAGGUGUAGCUGCCGUGGUGGAGAAGAUCCGGGAGAACCGGGGCGUGGAAGAGCUGGCAGUGUCUGUGGGGGUGGAUGGAACACUCUACAAGCUGCACCCGCACUUCUCCAGCUUGGUGGCGGCCACGGUGCGGGAGCUGGCCCCUCACUGUGUGGUCACGUUCCUGCAGUCAGAGGAUGGGUCCGGCAAAGGUGCAGCCCUGGUCACUGCUGUUGCCUGCCGCCUUGCGCAGUUGACUCGUGUCUGAGGAAAUCUCCAGGCUGAGGAGGUCUCCGCCACAGCCUUGCUGGACCCGGGUUGGGGUCUGCCUGUUUCCCAGCCAGGCCCAGCCACUGAGGACUCCUGGGACAUCCCAUGUGUGACCCCUCUGCGGCCAUUUGGCCUUGCUUCCUGGCUUUCCCCGAGAGAAGUAGCACUCCGGUUAGCAAUAUAUAUAUAUAAUUUAUUUACA
rnacentral:sRNA from 1 species